AUGGGCAAGCCACUCAGGCUUGGGGAGUCUCAGCUUCCUUUUCUGCAAAACAAACAGAACUCCAAACCAGGGCAGUGCCUGGUUCAGAGGACCUCCAGAACCCCCAGCGCCCUUCAUUCAGAAAAGAGAACCAGCUCCAGAAAGAGUCCUUGGCUUAGUCUCAUCACUAUCCCCAGAAAUUCAGCUCUGGCCCUCAGCUUACAAACCCAACUCAAGCGUGGAGCUCACCAACCCUGCCCAUCUUUGCAAGCAGAGCACAUCUCAAUUGGCUCUAGCCACAUUUCAAGUGCUUAAUAGCCACUUGUGGCCAACGGCUACCCCACUGGGCAGUGAAGAAAUGGAUGGUAUGUUGCCUUGGGAACGAAUGAGAGUGUAAAGAAGAGAGUGCCCUCAAAACUUGGCUGGCGUUCCUCAAGAUGAACAAAAAUAUGGAUAAAGACCAUCUUUUCUCAGUAAGAGGACAGAACUAAGUAAGUGGUGGUCAUUUCCUCAUUUGUCCCAAUUCUUUGAUAAUCUCAAUUCUUGGAUACAUCUAGCAACAAGUGCUGACCAAAAAUACAGUGAGCACGUAGCAAACAAAUGUUAUAGAAAAUACAUCACAAAUAGGUGUUCAUAACUAGUUUGUAUCUUGCAAGUACAUGCUAAUGCCUAAACGUUCUAUGUUG
rnacentral:lncRNA from 1 species